rnacentral:rRNA from 1 species
UACGUAGGGGGCAAGCGUUGUCCGGAAUCAUUGGGCGUAAAGCGCGUGUAGGCGGUCCGGUAAGUCCGCUGUGAAAGUCGGGGGCUCAACCCUCGAAUGCCGGUGGAUACUGUCGGGCUUGAGUACGGAAGAGGCGAGUGGAAUUCCUGGUGUAGCGGUGAAAUGCGCAGAUAUCAGGAGGAACACCGAUUGCGAAGGCAGCUCGCUGGGACGUUACUGACGCUGAGACGCGAAAGCGUGGGGAGCAAACAGG